rnacentral:lncRNA from 1 species
AACUUAACACCUAAUGAGGUUUUUUUUUUUUUUUUUGUUUGAAAUUUUUUUUUUUUUUUUUUUUUGUGGAGUGGGUAGUCAACAGUGUCUGCUCUGGGCAAAUCACACAAAGUCCCUGAACGGCAGGAACCAAGAAAAUCCUGUCAGGUCCAUAGGAACAAAGAUUAAAUUGCCCCAGAAGAAAACCACAAUAAGUAAGGCAUAUCUCCA